UCCCAAAAUAUAUGUUAAGUGGAAAAGGAUGUGGCGUUGCCCAGACAACUAGGAUGUUGGCUUAGAAGCAGCCAUCAUUUAAAGAGUGCGUAAUAGCUCACUAGUCGAGUGACACUGCGCCGAAAAUGUACCGGGGCUAAACAUAUUACCGAAGCUGUGGAUUGUCCUUUGGACAAUGGUAGGAGAGCGUUCUAAGGGCGUUGAAGCAUGAUCGUAAGGACAUGUGGAGCGCUUAGAAGUGAGAAUGCCGGUGUGAGUAGCGAAAGACGGGUGAGAAUCCCGUCCACCGAUUGACUAAGGUUUCCAGAGGAAGGCUCGUCCGCUCUGGGUUAGUCGGGUCCUAAGCUGAGGCCGACAGGCGUAGGCGAUGGAUAACAGGUUGAUAUUCCUGUACCACCUAUAAUCGUUUUAAUCGAUGGGGGGACGCAGUAGGAUAGGCGAAGCGUGCGAUUGGAUUGCACGUCUAAGCAGUAAGGCUGAGUAUUAGGCAAAUCCGGUACUCGUUAAGGCUGAGCUGUGAUGGGGAGAAGACAUUGUGUCUUCGAGUCGUUGAUUUCACACUGCCGAGAAAAGCCUCUAGAUAGAAAAUAGGUGCCCGUAC
rnacentral:rRNA from 1 species